GUGAAUCAUCGAAUCUUUGAACGCACAUUGCGCCUUUUGGAAGUCCGAAAGGCAUGCUUGUUUGAGAACCGUUUGACCCCUCACCUCUCCCUUUUGGUUCUUGCCGUCUGGGUGUUUGGUGGACUUGGGCUUUCCGUCGGUCUUGAGUGAACUGACUGUGGCCUCAAAUGCAAACUCUGUCGGUGUUUCAUCGCGAAACGACGUGCUGAUGAAUUAGUUCAUUUUUAUCGUCAUACUAGGGAUGUCGCAUCGGAGAAUUCUUCGGUCAGAAGUCGAUAACAUCAGAGCGGUUCGACGCCC
rnacentral:misc_RNA from 1 species